UUUUGCUGAUUAAAGGGGUGUGAAACAGCUGGAAAAAUCAGUGUCUGAAGCUUGCCUGUACUGAGGCUGGGGCAUAAAUUGACAGGUGUUCUUACUUAACCGUGCACAUUUUAGUUGAUUGCGCUUAAAAUCUAUGGGAGAAAAGCAUGGCAGGUUCAAUCCUAUGGUUUUUCUGAGUAAAUGAAACAAACUCUAUCACUGUCAUUGCCAAAACUUCUUCAGUUCCUUGGUUUGACUCUCUGAUUUUUUCCAUUGUUACUGCAGUGCAAUUAGCACCAACAGUUACGGGGUUUUCCUCAGGAACAUUCUGAAAACACCUCUUUUAAAUGUGCUUGAAGUUGUUUAAAAUGAAUAGACGAAGUGAUGGUUUAGUUCCCUCUCUUAAUUCUUUCUUCUGACUGUCUUUGCUAAGAAAGACAGAAAAAGAAAUAAAUCUGUGUUUGUCUUCAUUCUUUCCUACGUACUUUUUUGUUCUAAUAAAAAUUAAGAUACAUUUCUAGUAGUAACAGUGCUUUUGAAAUCCUCAUUUUAUCCCCUCCAUUAUAAAAGUCAUUAAUCUAAACUUCUCAUGGGUAGUGAUAGUCUUAAUUGCUUACAGAAAUUUCUCACAGAAUACAGAAUACUCAUCAUUGUCCUUGUCAUAGCUCAGAACCCCUGUUCUGAGAGCUCAUCUCUCCCACAGCGGAGCGCUGGCUGAAGGAGCUGCUCUGGGUGGGCCAGUCCCAGUGCUGGAGGCAGAUGGCUCCUAACAAAAUCAAAACUCCAUCAUACUCGCAUUUUCCUUGUACCUCACCUGACUGGCAGCAGAUUCACCCUUACACUGUAUUGUUUUUAUCCAGCAUAUUCCUUUCCAUUUGUGUCAUUUUCUAGUUAGUGGCCGUAAAAGUGUGGGCCUGUGGCCUGUGACAUGGGCAGACCACCUGCUUUCUCCGUUUCCUGAUCUGUCCCAUGAUGGGGCUGUGGUCCUCACUGAGCUUUUUGCUUUCAUUAACAACUCAGAAAGAAGAACUUUUAUUCUCACAGGAAGGGAAAAGCUGCAAUGGAAGGGAAUUAAAGCUGUUCUGGAGAAUACAACAUGUUCUUUUCCCACUUUCCCCUCCCUCCUUCCCCCCAAGGCAAACAUGAGUAGAACAAACCUGGUUUGUUGGGGGUUUUUUUAGUAGGUUUUCCUUAUUUUCUUUCUAAAAAUUUAGCAUGACUUCUCAGUCAGAAAAACAGGCAAAAUCACCACAUGUCCAAUCAUGCUAAUAUUUGUGGUAAUAGGUGGAAACAAAGGGCGAUUACUGAAGACUGGAGGAAGAUCAGCUAAUUAAUAUCCACACACACAAAAAUCUCAAGUAAUCAUUCCCAAUUUCCUUCUCGGAUGUCAUUAUGGCAAAACAACUGCUUUCAUUGUUUCCAGAGGCAUUUUGUAGUCUUGUGUGUUAGUGCUCACUUCUCUGGAAGGCAAAAUACUCCUUUAAUCAUUAGACUUUCAAGAAUGUACCACUUUGAUUAGCUCAUAAGGUAGUGUGUUAGCAAGAUCUACAAAUGCUUCCUGUGAGAAGAAAAUCCAGAGGUACCUGUUAGCAGCAGGAACGAGUCACUCAAUAACAUCAGACCCUACACUGAGAUCUUGUCCCUUAUAUAAAACCUAGAGUUUGGGUUGAUGUCAUGUAAUGUUGUCCCUUGUCUCUUGCUCCCUAUCCUCCUUGUUCCAGGAAUUUAGAAAAGCCAGGAUCUCCCUGAAGUGCUUGUCUGUAUGUGCAUUGAAUGCUGAAGCAC
rnacentral:lncRNA from 1 species